rnacentral:rRNA from 1 species
AUUGAACGCUGGCGGCAGGCUUAACACAUGCAAGUCGAGCGGGGGAGGUUGCUUCGGUAACUGACCUAGCGGCGGACGGGUGAGUAAUGCUUAGGAAUCUGCCUAUUAGUGGGGGACAACAUUCCGAAAGGGAUGCUAAUACCGCAUACGCCCUACGGGGGAAAGCAGGGGAUCUUCGGAACUUGCGCUACUAGAUGAGCAUAAGUCGGAUUAGCUAGUUGGUGGGGUAAAGGCCUACCAAGGCGACGAUCUGUAGCGGGUCUGAGAGGAUGAUCCGCCACACUGGGACUGAGACACGGCCCAGACUCCUACGGGAGGCAGCAGUGGGGAAUAUUGGACAAUGGGCGGAAGCCUGAUCCAGCCAUGCCGCGUGUGUGAAGAAGGCCUUUUGGUUGUAAAGCACUUUAAGCGAGGAGGAGGCUACUAGUACUAAUACUACUGGAUAGUGGACGUUACUCGCAGAAUAAGCACCGGCUAACUCUGUGCCAGCCGCCGCUGUAACAC